rnacentral:tRNA from 1 species
UAUACUUUAGUAUUAAGUACGAAGAUUUUUGAUAUCUUAAGGAAUAAUUAGAUUUAUUAAGUAUAA